CUUCAGCACUCUGUCUCAUGUGAGCCCUGGCAUGCAUCCUGUAGGAAGGCCCUGCUCCUCUCCCAUUUCACACAUGACUGAUGAACUGACAGAUAAGAAGAGGUUUGUUUGUUUGGGUAUAGCAGUAAGGAGCUAAAAACAAGCCAGGAAUAUCAACUCUACUUCAGUUGUCUCCUCCAGUUUUUCUUCCUACAUUCCAUAUGCUACAUUUGGGAUUUUACGGCAAAAGGGAGCCGAGAUUCUUAUUUGAGAACUUUAAUCAAGUUUUCUGUCUGGGAGACACGGAUUAGCAACUUGGUUUUAUUUUGGUUUCUGCUGUGUAUGUAAGAAUGUGAAGAGACAGUGAGCUUGAAAUGUGCACAAAGACACACAGGGUAUCCAAAUCAGAUCUGGAGCCUAUGGCUGAGSGUCAGGAUGUCCAAGAGAUGGAGAUGUCAUCUUCAAGAUGUGUACAUGAGAAAGCU
rnacentral:lncRNA from 1 species